UUCAUGUAUGCUUUCUGUUCCAGUUACAGUAGCGGUAGCCGUUUAUUCAGUAUAGUUCUUACUUCCUUUCAGUUUAUCGCUAUUGUAUAUCUGCUCAUUACCUUGUUUAUUUCCACUGACCCAUGUUGUUGUAUAGUUCUUCCUGAUCCGGUGAGUACUCCUCGCCUUCUUCGGCUUGCGGUACCCACUGGGAGGGGAGACAUGUUUACAUGUUCUCACCUCCCCCACCAUUUUUCAGGUAUCGCGGGCGUUGAGUAGUGGGACGAGACGUGAGGUACGUGUGUAGCGGUCGAUAGAGCUUCCGACCCAGGUUAUUUCGAUUUAGCUAUUACCCUUUUUAUUUCUGUGGAUAUAUAUAGCUUAGUCGGUUUACAUGGUUCAGUUUUGUUUUAUUAUUUGAAUAUCUGAGUUUUCAGUUGGUUUUGGAAUGUAAUAAAGGAAUUGUGUUUUCUUGAAAUAAAAGGUUUUCUACCCCUCGUGGUAGCGUUUCUUAAAGAAUAAAGGUUUCCGUGUAGGGAACAGUUUUCAAAAGAAUUUUCGUGAAUUUCUAUUUAAACACUGAAUGUAAAACUGUGAUGUGAAUGGUGAAUGUAUGGAUGUAUAGUUAUCUUUAUAUUCAUUUGGUUGUGGUUGUUUUCUGGCUAUACUCUUGUACUUGAUCGACGCCGUGCAAAUACAGGGGAGACUCUGUCCGUGUGAACAGUGGAUUCCCUAUAUUUGUGGCGGAUCUGGCAUACCCUGGGGUCAGGUUUGCAAAAAAAAAAAAAAAAAAAAAAAAAAUUUCGCUGUGUUUUUAACCUAAAGGGACCCCGGGGCGUGACAGAUUAAAGUGGUAUCAGAGCGAGGUUACAACCACAACACCAUUCACAGGUUGUUUUGAAAAGUAAAGGAACUGAACCAAAAUAAACUGAACCAUUGGUUAGGUUGACUCUUAGGAAGACCUACGGUGUAUAGGCACGUGAGUGCGGGGUUUGGACUUGUGUCCUGGGUUGCAUUCGAGUUGGGUAAACUCGAAGUGCAUGGUAUUCCUGUAUGUGUUACGGUUCGCACAACUGGUGUCUAAGUCGGGAGUAGUGGCGGUGUACUUUUUCGGACAUCGAGUGGCGGGGCGACGUUCCCCAGGUGUUGCCACCCCUGUCAGAUGGGCCUUGAAGGGCCAGGUGAUCUUCGGGCCUAGGCAAGUAUCUUAACUGCCGACGCCCGGGCCACUCUUCCUUCUUAGGACGCGAGAGCUAUUGCGAGUGUCUCUACGGAGACGGCAAUAUGACCUGUUAGGGUCGCGACUUCAGUGGGGGCUACUAGGGUGUAGCCCAGGGUUUGGAUAGCGGUCGUUUAGGCGACUGUAUUGUUAGUGUUGCUUCCACAGAUCUUUGGGUAGGGUUGUGAUGCCUACCUAUCCUCCUUGAUUGCUGAUUGGAAUCAGCGGUUCGAAUCUUUCGACCUUUACCUCGUUCAUUCUUCCUACCAGAGUCAUAUUGACACAGUUUUAGUGUCAGGUCCCUGUUGGUACAUACAUCGUAUGCGAUUGUUCUAACACCUAAAUUGGUGUCAGGGGAUAGUCGAUGGUUAGUAGGAUCCAUCUUGAUUCGAGAGACUCAAGAUUAUUGUCGGAAUUCUUGGAGCUUUGAUUAUAGUUCGGUUGAGGUGCGAAAAUCUGUUAGAGAAACCAUUUCCUAUCGCCUCAGUUUGUGUAGUUGGCGGCUUAGUGUCGCUAGUAGCUUUCGAAUGUUGAAAGCUUUACGACUCCCAGUGAGUCGGUUUAUAGUCGAUCUGUUUUCGAAUGUCGACUUAUAUAGUUGAUGUUUCGAUAGUAUUGGUUGUGAACUUGUGGUUCAGUGAUGAGGUAUCAAGUGGCUUGAUACUUCGAUGUGUCGCGCUUCCAACUCAUUGUUGGUAGUGAAUCUUCGGAUAUUUCGCUUUUCUUUUGAUAAGUACAUUGGCUGCAGACAAUGUACUGUCAAAAGUUAGGAUGAAAUACCCAUUUCCGGUGUGGAACUUUUGGAUUGGGUUAAUAUUCGCUCUAGCUUGUCUUAGGAGAAGCUUAAGUGAUGACCAUCUUUGACCAUGUAGCGAGCCUUAGAUUAUUCCCUGGCAGGUUUUGCGCAGUUGACUUAUCGUCACUUCUGAUGGUUUUUACUUUGGUCCGAGUCUAGGUGAUCGUUGGUCCUAUUGUUGUGCCUUCCACAGCUAAGAGUUUCUUGGGUAGUAGUCUCGGUUUGUUGUCGUGAGGUUCGAAAUCAGUGAUUGAGUGACUUGAGCCUAGUGGUUGGUCCUUGAUUGUCACCGUAUGUGAUAGCGUAUAAGGUUUGCGACUUGGCCUAGCGUGCAAACCUUGGGUUAGCAUGCUUGUCCGGUCAUUUGGUGACAGGUGCGCUUGGGUCUCAAUGAGACAAGUAAUCGGGUGUUGCUGGGGACAUCGAUCGCUAGGGUCCAUGGUAGGACGACAACGACAGGGUCUUGUGGAGACCAGUGCUGAGCAUUCACCGAUGGUUAGUAUCGCAGUUGCGAUUAGCGACCUGUGCAUCAAGUGAUGGACUUGCGAAGAGCUUUUGGUGGUCUGUUCGUACCGGAUUAAGUUUGAGGGGACAAAAUUGUCUAGCUCAAUUGGUAUUGUCAGUUGGAUCUUUUAGGCAGAUGUAAAGUGAGGUCUUGAACCUAGGGCUAUAGAUUGUGGCAGGUGACCUUUCGUUGAUGAGAUUUUGGCAGUUUGUGUGGUUACUGCUGGAGACUGUGGUCUCUAAGGUGAGAGUUUUGACUCAGGUCUUAGAACAACGUUUCGUUUUCGCUCUUGGUGAGCAGGUUGACGUUGUUGGAUAGUCGGAGUUUUUCGUUUCAGUCUACGUAAAUAGACUCUAGAUUAAAGUGGUUGUUUCGUGACUUUUCUACGUGAACUUGCGACGUAGUCGAAUCGGUUACGGCUAUGCGGACCAAGGUAGAACGGACCUAAAUUUCUGAAUGUUGAUUAAUUAUCUCAGAAUUGGCAAAUUGGAUCGGAAUAAUCCUAGUCGCGGGACUGUCUUUGUCCGCAGGUAUAGAGGUAGUGUUGAUUCCCGGUGAGUUUGGUCGUAGAUUUUGGUUGGUACCGUUUUCCCGUCGAUUUGUCCAGAGUGGACGCAGUCCCAUUUUUUUUCCUCACUUACGGAAGUUGAUAUAUCCAGACUGUAAUUGACGGUACUCAAGAGUGAUAUUGACAGUGGUGGAGAGUAUAUCCGAAAUCUCGAUUUCGGUGGUAUGCUGGUCUAAGUUUCGGGACGAAAACUUUCUUUUUAAGAGGGGGGAUAAUGUUAAGGACUGAGAUUUUUACAGUGCCAACUAAACCUCUGUUGAUUUGAUGUUUAUGUGUGUACAUUUAAUUACAUAGCACUGCGUCAAGUUUCAGAGAAAAAGGAGUAAAACACGAGGAAGUUACGCGAUUAUUAGUUUUCACUUAGUGAAUGUAACUCAGUUUUUUCGGUGAAUCAGGUAGAAGUAGAGUGGCUAUUCACGCGUAAUACGGACUCGUUCAUAGCAUUCCAAUGCGCGUUCGAACCGUUCAGCUAUUCUUCGAACAAUGGCCUGUCGGAUUUUAGUUUGGUAACGCACGAUUCGAGAAAAUCCAAAAUACAUGUUUUAUAUGUAUUUAGUGUUAUUUCUUAUGAUUGGAAAUAGAAGAUUGAUUGUGUCGCUGAUCCGUGGUUGAAUCGAGGGUGAAGCGAAUCACAGCUUUGUUGUCUCCGUCUGUGGCUGAAGCCGAUGGCUGUUCGUUGACUCGGAAAAUCCGAUGGGACGGUUUCAAGAAACGCGCAAAUAUGUUCGCUAAGGGUUCGAGAGUGGAAAUAUCGGGAAAUUCGGCAAAAGGUCUUAAUAUCUUUAUGUCAGUUUCAACGUGAGAUCGCACGUGGAGGGGUUCGCUGCACUUUAUCGUCUAUGAGGGUCGGAAUGAAAUGUUGAGUUUAGAGCGAAUUUCUGCAAAUGGAGGCUUCGUAUUUAAGCUUUUCAUUCUUGGACCCUAACCCUAGCUAGCCCAUCACCUAACGCAGACUAACGCCUCUCCUCCUUUCCUGGAUGCCCGGCUUGUGCCCCAGCCGCCGGCGCACAUUGCGCGUCGCCGGAGCAAGAGGUUUCCUUCUCCUGGAGCUGUAGCUCUCUGCUUCCAUCAUCUCCCUCUAUCUCUCGCUUCUCUCGGGUUGGAGCCCAAGCUGAGGCUACAGGGCCUGCACCGGCGUCGCCUGUGCCCGGCACAACUCUCCCGCCGACCGCCGCCGUGCCGUGGCGCCGCUGCCUUGAUGCGCCAGCCAACAGCUGCCAGCCUGGGCCGAACUUUAGGCGAGAUAUGUUCGCGACCUCCUCCCGCAGUCGACGGCUGCCUGUACUCUCGCGACGUCACGCGUAGCACCCGGCAUCCCUCCCGUACGGCCGCGCCGCCUCUGCUGCCGCCGCCGGGCCAGCGGCCGCAGGAGCCGCCCCUCAGACCGUAUCGUGGCGGGCGAAAUCGCCGCCAUCCCUGCGUCGCCGCGCGUGGGCCAACCCGAGGUAUCUCCGGCUCAGGCAAUCUUCUGUCGGUCUGGAGCUCCGCGGCGCGGCCGUGCCGCAUGCCCGCGGAACCCUGAGCCUGAGCUGUGCGGGUUGCUUGCUCCUGCCAUCGCCGCCGCCUCUCCGUUCACCUGAGGUUGAGCCGCCAUGCUCCUUUCCCUCCCGCACCCAAUCUGGGCCACGCGCGCGUGCUUGCGGGAAGCCUGCCGGAGCAAGUUGUCGGCCAAGCCGAAAUAGGGUUGUUCUAGUUUAGAUGUUUACUGUUAUGAGCUUUCCCGAGCCUCCCCCGAUCUUACGGAAGGAGAGAUGAUCCGGCAAGUUUAUGAUCAUCGGUUGCUCACUUGGUUUUUCUGUCGGAAGCCCCGUUUCGUGCUUUUUGCCGGUGUCGACCCUGUAGAGCUUUUUGGCUGUUGUUCUGUGUUUGGUGCGUGUUUUCCGGCAAUCGAAGCUGUCCUGGAUGCUCCGGAGGUGAGCACGGUGAUUUGGUCAGUGCGUCAUAAGUUGCUCACUCAUUUUAGGGUCUCGCGGCGUGAUGUGUUAAUUUAGCAUUUUAGUCUUUCAGUGCGCAGUUUUUCGUUGAACUUCGAUGUCGCUUGUAACGGUCCUACAGUGCGCGGAAUUGAUCGAAAGGUGGAGCACGGCCUCCGGGCACUACCGACCUGUCAGUAGGUUGUCUCUGUUUGGACUGAAUGAUGCUAGUGUAGUAGAUACGGACCAUAACGCGCCGAAAUCGAUUGAAAUAAUGCGUUUCGGUCGUAUUCGGACAGGGACUUUUUAUGCAACUUUGAUUCUUGUGGUACUGUGGAAGCUUUGCGGGUAGUGGGUACCUCUGACUGUUUGUCCAGGGCCCACAGUCGCUUGCCGGAAUCGAAAGUGGAUUUUCCGGAGCGUUUUUCGUAGCGAAUCCCGAUGUAGAACGCGUUUCGGUUUCGGAAUUCUUCCGACGGUUCUCUAAGUGAGCUUUCUUUGAGUCGCUGGCCUUGUUGGCUGGUCACUCAUGUCAUUUCAGGGGUUGGAAAUGACGGCUAUUCUAAUACCGGCCGAUGUGAGCUGACGGUGGUUCGGUGUCGAAAAUAGACCUCUCGCGGAACCGGAUCGACGAUUAUCGACCGAUAAUUGUUUGGAGGCGAGAUUUUAGGAUUGCUGCAAGACAUCUUAGUUGAGUGUUUUGUGGCAGUGGAGUGACUCUAUCAUGAAGUCGGUGCUUCGGGACAUUAACUUUAGUUGGUUCCGACGGAGUCCCUGUGCCGAUUUUCUGGAUUCGGCGGUUACGCGGUAAAUCGGUUAUUGAGGAAACGAUCUUCCGUGGAUUGCUUAUGGAUUAUGCUUUUAGUUGUUUUACUUAGUUGUUGGGUUAAGCACUACCCAGUGGACCUGCUUAGGUACGGUUUACUUCUUUGCAGUCAGGAGACAUGGCGCCGACAUUUGUUACAGGUGAGUACUUCGGAUCACGUCCGGGUCCUACAGGUGGUGCACGCUCGGGUAUGCGUUUCUUCCUUUAUUGCUCUUUCUGUAUAUUAUCUAGCAAUUAUAUAUCUUGAUUAUAGGUAGCUAGCCACAUGUUGUUUCAGUUACACUAUUCGGUUGUUGCUCUUAUAUAUCAUGGAGUUAGGAAGUAGCAGUAGUCUACCAUAUUUCUUUAUUGCGUACUUAGAUAUUCUGCAUAUCUUGUAUUAUGUUAGAGAUAGAGCGGUUUCGUGCUUUAUGUGAAAUCGGUGAGCUAGUUGUUUUUUUGUAUAUAGUAUAUCUGUAUAUAGUCGGUUUGUUCCUUGACUCUUGUUGUGUUGAUAACUUUGAGCGAGUGUACCUGAUGGGAUCUUAGAUUGUCGACUAGUGGCCGACGGUAGUUUUAGAUCAUAUACUCAGAUGACUUGUUGACCGAUUUUGCAUAUAUACAGUAGUUGAGCUCAUUGAUCAGUAAUUACUCUGUGGUAGGAUGUUGAGUUGUUCCAUCCCAGUUGACUUGAUUAGUAGUAUUUGCUUAUGUUUAGAGAGGAUGUCGAUGUUGUCCCAUCUCAGUUGACCUGAGUGGUCGUUCUUUGCUUUCUUACAGUUGAUGACCUAUGCGCGCUCGAUAGGCCCUGGGGGCAGGAUUGUCGGCUGGUUUGGCGACGGUUGAUCAUUGACCAUAUUGCAUUGAUCGCUCCGAUACUCGUCGCAUUUCACGAACACCUGGCGUCUGACUCACCGCAAGGAGUGUUCUUUUUCGAAAGUGGUUGAAUUGUGACAACCGUGAGCCCCCUAAGGGGUUUAUGCAUGUUUAGCAGGGACGUGUAUUGUAGGAUGUUGCGGUGCGGACCUCAGGGCAUUGGCUUGAGGUCUGCGUGCUGACAAAGAGACAUUGGUUUCAGAUUGCGUACUUUUGGAUGAUUGUCCAUUGACGCAUUAUGUCUAUUGUAGCCGGUGCUUGCAUGAUACUUACAGAUCUUACCUUAUAGUUGUCUUGCUAUAUAGUAGAUAUUCAUGUAUUUUAUGUUCUAGUUACAGUGAGGUAGCGUUUAUUUCAGGUUAGUUGUUACUUCCCUUCAGUUUAUCGCUAUUGUUAUCUGUCUUACCUUGUUUAUUUCCACUGACCGUGUUGUUGUAUAGUUCUUCUCUGAUCCGGGAGUACUCCUCGCCUUCUUCGGUUGCGGUACCACUGGGAGGGGAGACAUGUUUACAUGUUCUCACCCUCCCCCAUUUUUCAGGUACGCGGGCGUUGUGUAGGCGGACGAGACUGAGAGUACGUUGUAGCGGUUCAAUAGAGCUUCCGACCCUAGGUUAUUUCGAUUUAGCUAUUAUCCUUUUUAUUUUUGUGGAUUAUAUAGCUUAGUCGGUUUACAUGUGUCAGUUUUGUUUUAUUAUUUUGAACAUCUGAUUUUUCAGUUGUGUUUGCGAAAUGUAUAAGGAAUUGUGUUUUUUUGAAAUAAGGUUUUCUACCCCUCGUGGUAGCGUUUCUUAAAGAAUAAAGGUUUCCGUGUAGGGAACAGUUUUCAAAAGAAUUUUCGUGAAUUUCUAUUUAAACACUGAAUGUAAAACUGUGAUGUGAAUGGUGAAUGUAUGGAUGUAUAGUUAUCUUUAUAUUCAUUUGGUUGUGGUUGUUUCCUGGCUAUACUCUUGUACUUGUGCGACGCCGUGCAAAUACAGGGGAGACUCUGUCCGUGUGAACAGUGGAUUCCCUGUAUUUGUGGCGGAUCUGGCAUACCCUGGGGUCAGGUUUGCAAAAAAAAAAAAAAAAAAAAAAAAAAAUUUCGCUGUGUUUUUAA
rnacentral:lncRNA from 1 species